UACGUAGGGCGCAAGCGUUGUCCGGAAUUAUUGGGCGUAAAGAGCUCGUAGGCGGCUUGUCACGUCGGGUGUGAAAGCCCGGGGCUUAACCCCGGGUCUGCAUUCGAUACGGGCUAGCUAGAGUGUGGUAGGAGAGAUCGGAAUUCCUGGUGUAGCGGUGAAAUGCGCAGAUAUCAGGAGGAACACCGGUGGCGAAGGCGGAUCUCUGGGCCAUUACUGACGCUGAGGAGCGAAAGCGUGGGGAGCGAACAGG
rnacentral:rRNA from 1 species